CCGACUUAUAGUGGUUUUCACUCUUUCUAUGCUUUUAUCCUCGCCUUGAAAAAAAGUGGCGAAGUGGAGCAGAGAGAUCGUCAUCUCUGUGCCGAGUUCCAAGUCCCAUGAGCUCUACCGGAAAGGGCGUGACUUCGCCACUCUAUUCCCUGGACGCCAGCGUGGCUCACGGAGUCGGUUACCAGGACUCUGUCUGAGGAGAGCUGCUGGAGGACGACUAUCGACCAACAAGACGUGUUUCUGGAGCGGAGGCGAGUUGGUAGGGGAGCCGUGAAUCUGGAGGAUGACCAUCACUCUACCAACAAGGAUUACCAGGACUCUGGCUGAGGAGAGCUGAUGGAGGAGCCAAGACUCUGGAGGACGACAUCACUCCACCAACCAGGAUCCUCUCCAAGGUCGGUGUCCCCACGUCUGAGGCCUGGGGCGACAGGCCGGCGGUUGCUUGGCGGAGGACCUCAUGAAUAUGGAUGUGGCCGCUCCAUCUGCUCCUUCUCCUGGCCUGGCCGAAUGCAAGCACACCACCACCACCACCAGGCUUGGCUGGUGGUGUGGAACAGCGACAAUCCCCACCUU
ensembl:lncRNA